GCUCAUGCCUGUAAUCCCAGCACUUUGGGAGGCUAAGGCGGGCACAUCACGAGGUCAGAAGAUGGAGACCAUCCUGGCUAACACGGUGAAACCCCGUCUCUACGAAAAAUACAAAAAAUUAGCCGGGCUUGGUGGCGGGUGCCUGUAGUCCCAACUACUGAGGAGGCUGCGGCAGGAGAAUCGCUUGAACCCGGGAGGCAGUCGGAGGUUGCAGUGAGCCAAGAUCGCACCACUGCACUCCAGCCUGGGUGACAGAGCGAGACUCCAUCUCAAAAAAAAAAAGGUAAUAGUGUAUUUUUAAAAGAUGGUAAUAGUGUCUCUUCUGCAUUGUAAACUCAGAGCUGUGACUAGGCCAAUGGGGCAUCUCCGUGUUUUUUAUUAUUCAGGUGAUGUUCUGUGCCCUUUGAGUUUACCUUACUUUUGCAGAUUACAGAGUAAGCCGCCAGCAGAAGCAAUAAAGACAUUACUGGGCCUUUGCACUGCAACAUCAUGCCUCUGAAGAAAAAAAAAGUGCAAACAUUACAAUAGAUUCAGCUCCUUUAGUUCUCACUUCUGUCUCCACGUCAAGAUAAAAUACUGACAUUGAAAUAGAAUGGAUGACAUGCUUGAAAUGAGUCAUGUGCCUGAAAAGUCAUUAACAAACAACAGUUCCAGAGAAAAGCCAGGAAAAACUCCCCAUGGAUUUAGAGACAGAGCUCUCACCUUCAACAGGUUACUUUUUCCUUGUCUCAGGCUUCCUUGGAAAACAACCUAUAACUAACUUUCUGGGAGUAAAGCUUCAGGUGGAAGAACAAUUGGAUCAAACUUGGAAAACAUGCCCCCAGUUUGUCUACUCCAUUGAACUUUGCAUGCUUGGAGCCCCUGGCCUCAGCACACUCAAUCGCACAAGCCAGCCUGCAGCACCUGUACAGCACCAUGGGAGUCCCCUGCAGAGCUGCAACUUUGAGAGUGGGUAUAGUGACGUAACUCAGGUUCUUCAAGGGAUGAACACUCCAACUUUGAAACCACUAGCCUGUAGGUGUGGACGAAAAGGCAGCUGCAUGUUAUAAAACAAUAUUACUCAUACUUUUGGAUCAAGCUUCUUUCAGUCCCAUGGGUAGGGAGGAGGGGCAAUUUGCUGAAGCCCACUGCCCUUCCAGUACUCACAAGCCAAGGGCCCUAUGGGAUCUGUUUCACAGGACUCAUGCUUAUGGCAGCUGAGCACAUCUGUCCUGUAUGUCUGCCAGCAGCCACGUCCCUCUCACUCCUGUGACGACAGCCUUGACUAUAUUUAGAAAUUCCAUUUCUGAUUGCAUUUCACUGCUGAAUGGUCCUAGAAUCCUUUAUUGCCCUUGUCCCAUCACAAGAGACAGCCAGCCACAGCCACUUUUAUCUCAACAACAUACUGAAUACUGACAGAACAAACAGGCAAGUUGUAGAUUCACCAGGAUUUAUACAUAUUUGAUUUUUUAUUACCAAUCAAAAAUAAAUUCCAUAUAU
rnacentral:lncRNA from 1 species